AUUGAACGCUGGCGGCAUGCCUUACACAUGCAAGUCGAACGGCAGCACGGGAGCAAUCCUGGUGGCGAGUGGCGAACGGGUGAGUAACAUAUCGGAACAUACCCUAGAGUGGGGGAUAACGUAGCGAAAGUUACGCUAAUACCGCAUACGAUCUAAGGAUGAAAGUGGGGGAUCUUCGGACCUCAUGCUCAUGGAGUGGCCGAUAUCUGAUUAGCUAGUUGGUGAGGUAAAGGCUCACCAAGGCGACGAUCAGUAGCUGGUUUGAGAGAACGACCAGCCACACUGGAACUGAGACACGGUCCAGACUCCUACGGGAGGCAGCAGUGGGGAAUUUUGGACAAUGGGGGCGGAACCCUACGAUCCACGCAAUAGCCGCCGUGAGUGAAGAAGGACCUCGUGUAGUA
rnacentral:rRNA from 1 species